AGCGAACGCUGGCGGCAGGCUUAACACAUGCAAGUCGAGCGCCCCGCAAGGGGAGCGGCAGACGGGUGAGUAACACGUGGGAACGUGCCUUCUGGUUCGGAAUAACUCAGGGAAACUUGAGCUAAUACCGAAUAAGCCCUUCGGGGGAAAGAUUUAUCGCCGGAAGAUCGGCCCGCGUAAGAUUAGCUUGUUGGUGAGGUAACGGCUCACCAAGGCUACGAUCUUUAGCUGGUCUGAGAGGAUGAUCAGCCACAUUGGGACUGAGACACGGCCCAAACUCCUACGGGAGGCAGCAGUGGGGAAUAUUGGACAAUGGGCGCAAGCCUGAUCCAGCCAUGCCGCGUGAGUGAUGAAGGCCUUAGGGUUGUAAAGCUCUUUUAGCAGGGACGAUAAUGACGGUACCUGCAGAAAAAGCCCCGGCCAACUUCGUGCCAGCCGCCGCCGUAACAC
rnacentral:rRNA from 1 species